CUAACAAGGAUUCCCCUAGUAACGGCGAGUGAAGCGGGAAGAGCUCAAAUUUGAAAUCUCCGAGGCCUGAACGCUUCGGCGAGUUGUAGUUGCGAGAAGCACUUUCUCGGCGGACCGACCGUGCCUAAGUUGCUUGGAACAGCACGUCGCAGAGGGUGACAACCCCGUCUGUGGCGCGGACGGCCGCUCACGAUGUGCUUUCGAAGAGUCGGGUUGUUUGGGAAUGCAGCCCAAAACGGGUGGUAAACUCCAUCUAAAGCUAAAUACUGGCGUGAGACCGAUAGCGAAGGAAACGAAUGGACUCAGCAAUGCGCCGUUUGAGAUUCAGCCGGCGGGUGGUGCCGCGCGGGGUUUGCGGAUCUGAAUGGACCGCGGUCCCGGGCUCGGAGCNCCCGGUCGUCGCACUUCUCUUGGGCGCGCGUCAACGUCGGUUGGGANUGGGUCUGAAAGGUGCCGNGAAGGUAGGUCUGUGCGUCCCUUCCGGGUCGCUCGGUCUGUUACAGCCCGGUUCUCCUCGCGGCUCGGGCCCGACCGAGGCGGUUGCAGCGCAUGCCUCUCGUAAGGCUAGGGUCCCGUCCCUCCGGCCGGUUGUCGAAUGUGGUGGACUGCUUGCAGUGCUCCGCGAAUGCUGCCGGUCGUUGGGGUGGUGAUCU
rnacentral:rRNA from 1 species